rnacentral:rRNA from 1 species
AUUGAACGCUGGCGGCAUGCUUUACACAUGCAAGUCGAACGGUAACAGGCCGCAAGGUGCUGACGAGUGGCGAACGGGUGAGUAAUGUAUCGGAACGUGCCCAGUCGUGGGGGAUAACGCAGCGAAAGCUGUGCUAAUACCGCAUACGAUCUAUGGAUGAAAGCGGGGGACCGUAAGGCCUCGCGCGAUUGGAGCGGCCGAUAUCAGAUUAGGUAGUUGGUGGGGUAAAGGCUCACCAAGCCAACGAUCUGUAGCUGGUCUGAGAGGACGACCAGCCACACUGGGACUGAGACACGGCCCAGACUCCUACGGGAGGCAGCAGUGGGGAAUUUUGGACAAUGGGCGCAAGCCUGAUCCAGCAAUGCCGCGUGCAGGACGAAGGCCUC